UAAAACUCAAAGGAAUUGACGGGGACCCGCACAAGCGGCGGAGCAUGCGGAUUAAUUCGAUGCAACGCGAAGAACCUUACCAAGGCUUGACAUAUACGAGAACGGGCCAGAAAUGGUCAACUCUUUGGACACUCGUAAACAGGUGGUGCAUGGUUGUCGUCAGCUCGUGUCGUGAGAUGUUGGGUUAAGUCCCGCAACGAGCGCAACCCUCGUUCUAUGUUGCCAGCACGUAAUGGUGGGAACUCAUGGGAUACUGCCGGGGUCAACUCGGAGGAAGGUGGGGAUGACGUCAAAUCAUCAUGCCCCUUAUGUCUUGGGCUUCACGCAUGCUACAAUGGCCGGUACAAAGGGCUGCAAUACCGUGAGGUGGAGCGAAUCCCAAAAAGCCGGUCCCAGUUCGGAUUGAGGUCUGCAACUCGACCUCAUGAAGUCGGAGUCGCUAGUAAUCGCAGAUCAGCAACGCUGCGGUGAAUACGUUCCCGGGUCUUGUACACACCGCCCGUCAAGUCAUGAAAGUCGGUAACACCUGAAGCCGGUGGCCCAACCCUUGUGGAGGGAGCCGUCGAAGGUGGGAUCGGUAAUUAGGACUAAGUCGUAACAAGGUAGCCGUACCGGAAGGUGCGGCUG
rnacentral:rRNA from 1 species